CAUCCUCCACCACCCCCUCCAGCACCACCCCCAGCCUCUCCAUAACAGCUGACCAGGUGAGAAGUGAGCUGAGGAAGAUGAAGCCAAGGAAAGCCACGGGUCCUGACGGCAUCAGCCCCAGACUCCUGAAAGACUGUGCAGACCAGCUCUGUGAGGUGCUACUGCACAUCUUCAGCUUGAGCCUGAGUCUGGAGAGGGUCCCAACACUGUGGAAGACUUCCUGCGUGAUUCCUGUCCCCAAGACAGCGCACCCUAGGGAGCCCAACCACUUCAGACCUGUGGCCCUCACUUCUCACCUGAUGAAGACUCUGGAGAGGAUCGUGCUGAGGAACCUCCGCCCCCUGGUGAGCUCUCAUCUGGAUCCUCUGCAGUUUGCGUACCAGCCGAACAUCGGGGUGGAUGACGCAGUCAUCUACCUGCUGCAGAGGUCCAUGGCUCACCUGGAGAACACUGGCAGCACUGUGAGGGUCAUGUUUUUUGACUUCUCCAGUGCGUUCAACACCAUCCAGCCUUCACUGCUCAGGGGGAAGCUCGAGCGGGCGGGAGUGGACUGUCACCUAGCCGCAUGGACCGUGGACUACCUCACCGACAGACCACAGUUUGUGAGGCUUCAGAACUGUGUAUCGGACAUGGUGGUCUGCAGCACGGGGGCUCCACAGGGGACAGUGCUCUCCCCCUUCCUCUUCACCCUGUACACCUCAGACUUCAGCUACAACUCUGGGAGCUGUCACCUCCAGAAGUUCUCUGAUGACACAGCCAUCGUCGGAUGUGUAUCGUCAGGGGACGAGCGGGAAUACAGGACUGUCAUCACUGACUUUGUCAACUGGUGUGGCACAAACCACCUCCAGCUCAACGCCAGUAAGACAAAGGAGAUGGUUGUGGAUUUCCGCAGGAGGGGGACACCUCAAACAGUUCCAGUGAACAUACAGGGUCUGGACAUCGAGAUGGUGGAGUCCUACAGAUUCCUGGGUGUCCACCUCAACAACAAACUGGACUGGUCAACAAACACAGACGUUCUGUACAAGAAGGGCCAAAGUCGUCUCCACCUGCUGAGGAGACUGAGGUCCUUUGGAGUGUGCAGGACUCUGCUCAGGACUUUCUAUGACUCUGUGGUAGCAUCUGCACUUUUCUAUGCAGUGGUCUGCUGGGGGGCAGGGAGCACCGAGAGGGACAGGAAGAGACUGAAUAGACUGGUCAGGAGGGCCGGUUCUGUCCUGGACUGCUCUUUGGACUCCCUGGAGGAGGUGGGUGAGAGGAGGAUGUUAACAAAGCUUAUAUCCAUCAUGGACAAUCCCUCUCACCCACUGCACCAGACUGUGGGGGCUUUAGGCAGCUCCUUCAGCAGCAGACUGAGACUCCCACCCUGCAGGACGGAGCGCUACCGCAGAUCAUUCCUCCCCUCUGCAAUAAGACUUUACAAUGAACAGUAACAAAACUGGAUUUACACCACCACUUUUUUUAUGGCAUUUAAAUUGUGUAUAUUGCAGAAAGCUUUAUUUUUUCUUCUCCCUUUUCUCUUUUCAAUUUUCUUUUUUUUUUUUCUUAAUUAUUACAUUUAUUAAGUUCUUAAUAUUAGGACCCUUAUUGUUAUAACUGCAUUUUGCACUUUCUGUCUUGUCUGUGAUGCUGCUGUGACAAAAAAAUUUCCCCCAUGGGGGAUCAAUAAAGGAAUAUUCUAUUCUAUUCUAUUCUAUUCAAAGUUUAGUGUCCAUACUACAUGUAUGCAAAGUUUCAAAACAAAAGAUAAAUGUAUUUCGUCAUAUGGAAAUGUGAGAUAUUAUUUUGAGCAGUUUAGCACUUUUUUUGGUCGUAUGCUAAACUGCAGUGAGGUUUGGUUACCACUGCACUUAGUUGUAUUGAAUGUAGUUAAGUGAUUUAUUGUGAUUUAAACUGAUGUUGUGCAACACUUUAAGUUAUCAAUUUUUAAUAGCUAUUUGAUGAUUUUGAUCAAUAAAAUUAUUUAAAAUGUGCUUAUUUACUUAUUGGGCUCUAUUUUUGUCUGGCGGAGCCUGGUGCACAGUCAGUUUGGUAUUUUCGAAGACUGAGGCGCACCGAGGUCCACCAAGCUGGGGGUGGAUGCGUGGUAGGGGGAAGUGUCGACAGAAUUAGCUAGUGCACUGACAUUUUUGUGCUCGCCGGCGGCAUGGAAGGUGCGCUGAAAGCUCGCCGAUUCAAACCUGGUCAGCUUUCAGCGCAGGCGGAGCGCAGCUGGUCUAGUGGUAUUAUAGUAGACCGACAGGGUAGUACGCGCACAUCACCGAUGCCUCACUGGUAGGUUUCCACACAUUGUCAGGCAUAUUUCAGCGCAAUAAAAAAUUCAUUACAAACACUAUUCAGUGCAACUAUCUGAAUCAGCACAUACAUUUAGAUCUAUAUCGAUAUAUUCUGAUUUAUAUCUUAUCUGAUGAGCGCUUUUAGCAUGCUCAUUAAAUUAGAUAUCCAGUAAACAGUCACACAUGAUGAAGUUAACAAGAUAUUUAAUUUGCCUCCCCCUUUUUCGCCUUCUUCCUCCAGCAGCUCGACCCAGACAUGUCUCAGUGUCCUUUCCCCGUCCUGCUGCUGCUGCGGCAAGGCUGACCAGAUGGUUUAUUUUACUGAUCAGAAGAGUUAUUUUGAAAAUUUGAACAAAAAAAUAAAAGAAACUUUCAUUCAAAAUUACCUGUUGAUCUGAUGUUCCCACAUCCUUAAAAUUCUGUGAAUAUUCAAUCUGGAGUCAGGCCUACAUACGAAUAUUAUAAUAUUCAGUUGCGUGAGCUAAGUUCAUUUUAUAUGCCAACAUCAAUGAAAGAAAGAGCCAAGCCACACGAUGCGUCCUUUACACACAGGUGGUUCCGAUUUUAAUGCCAGUAUUGGAAUUUAUGCUAUGAUCCGUGAGCACAACCCACCUUUGUCACGUGAGGUUUAAAUAUAUGCAACUUUAUGUGAUAGUCUUUAUUUGUGGAAAAGGAUGUUUGUCUUACCAGUGGGUACAACCUUACACGCACCAAAUCCUGCUGUGCUUAUUUGGGAGAGUGUGGAGGACACCCUCUGCAGCGCUUGCAGCGACACUUGUUGAGGGGCUGCCUUCUGUCGCCAUCGUGUGGCAUUGCUGUCUUCAGUCAUCUCUUGACCUCUCGACUACUGCAUGAAAAUUGUAAUAUGCCUCGCCGGUGGCAGAUUUAAAGGUAAGGAGAGGAGCUGAUGUGAUUAGUGAAAACAGGUCUUGGCUGUUUUUAACCCACUCCACAUCUUUUCUCCUCCCUAUCUACUACUUACGCCACUGGGAGGAGCUGAGUUAGGGAGGGGGGAUACUUACACUGGGCUGCCCCGCUCACCAAAAUACUAAAGUGUGCUUGGGCACGCCUUUUUGGCGCGGCAGACCUGACUUACGCCGGGCCAGGCCUCCGGCGAAUUAUGAAAUAGAGCCCAUUGACUGUUAACUCUUGAAUUUAUUGAAAUGGUUGCUUGCAUAGAAACUUUACUUGAACCUUUAGGUCAUUGAUGGUAAAAUGCCUACAUUUAAUUACUGUUGAAUGUGUAUUUGUAUUACUGGUAAAUAAUUGAAUUAUUGAUCUUUUUUAUUGGUUGCUUGAGUAUUUAUCCGUGGUGAGACGCCUCCUUUUCCUGCCUUAUUUUUGUUUAACUUCCUGUUGUUUUCCUUGUUUCCCUGGUCUGGCUUGAUUGUUUUCAGAGCACACUCCCUCUCCCUGGUCGCUGAGGCUGAGUGAGACUCCACACCUGCGCUGCAUUUGCCAUCAAGGCCCUUUAAGAAGCUAGCAGCCCUCAGUCUCAGUGCCUGAGUAUUGUCUUAGCUCCUGAGCGUGUCUCUAGCCCACACAACAGUCAGCCAGCCAACUGGACUUUCCGCGUGCCGUUUGCCUUUUGUUUUGGACAUUAGAAGUACAUCUUCAACUUGCUAUCUGCCUAUGAGUCUGCUUCUGGGUCCACAAAAUACACCACAAGCCACAGAAUACUCAGGCCAGGAAAAUGGACCCAGCAGACCCAGACAGAUUCCAACAAGCCGUCCACAAGCACAAGUCCGAGUUCGCCAAGGUCAGCAUGAGGACAUGCUCCAGGGCCUCAACCAAUCCUUUCAAGGCCUCACCGUUCAAGUAGCACAACUGGCGGAUCAACUCCUCUCCCAGCUCUUCCCGCAGCAAUCUAGGUCUUUCCCCUCUGUGAGUACGGCUCCCUCUCCACCCUCUCCUGUCUUCAAAGAGCCUUAUGUCCCUCCUCCUGAGCCAUAUGCUGGGGAGAUUGGGGGCUGCAGAGGUUUUCUGCUCUGCUGUUUUAUCGUCUUUGAUCAACAGCCUGUCAGUUACCUCUCUGAUAAAUUUAAAAUAGCUUACACGGUGAAUUUGUUAAGAAGCAAAGCCGCAAAGUGUGCUACUGCCGUUUGGAAAGAAGAUUCUCCUAUAGCAUCCUCGUAUGCCAGAUUCUCUGAGGAACUUCGCAAAGUUUUUGAUUAUCCUGUUGACGGACUGGAAUGUACCAAGCGGUUGUUUUCCCUCACCCAGGGCUCUCGGUCUGCGGCGGAAUUAUCUAUUGAGUUCUGCAUAGUGGCGGCUGAGAGUGGGUGGGGGGAACAUGAGUUAAAAGGUGUAUUUUCUCAUUGUCUGUCCGAACAUUUAAAGGACGAAUUAGCUGCUCGUGACGAGCCAUCCUCACUUGAGGAGUUGAUUUUGCUAGCCAUACGUUUGGAUAAUCGCCUCAGGGAGAGACGUAGAGAAAGGAAAAUAAACACUCCUCCCCUUAGUUCAGAUUCCACAUCCUCCUCUGCUUUCAGCGGGUCUCCUCUGCAGCCCUCAGCUCUGCUCGCUCCGACGCCCUCUGCUGGAGAACCCAUGCAAAUCAGCCACACCUCCUCUAUCUCCAGCUCUCCCAGAUGUAUCACCGUACCUGCCUGUCUCCUGUGGGAAAAGGAUCCACGUCUCUCCAAACCCUUGUUGACUCCGGGGCAGAUGACAACUUCAUUCACGCUGGGCUGGCGGCGCGGCUACAGCUCCCCCUGGAGGCACUCUCUGCCUCCCGUAAGUUCACUGCUCUCGAUGGCAGGGUUAUAGCCACCAUAACCCACUGCACUACUCCUCUCAUCCUCAUCUUUUCUGGCAACCAUCGUGAGGACAUCCAAUUGUUCCUGCUUCCCUCUCCUCACUCACCCAUAGUGCUUGGACUCCUGUGGCUGCAGAUCCACAAUCCCCAAAUCAACUGGUCCACAGCUUCGAUUUCCGCCUGGAGUCCUCACUGCCACUCUCAUUGCCUCCGCUCUGCCAAUCCCUACAUCGCCACCGCCAUCUCUCGCCUCUGUUCCCCCUGUUUACCAUGAUCUGGCCAUGGUUUUCAAUAAGGAGCAGUCUCUCAUCCUUCCUCCUCAUUGCCCCUAUGACUGAGCCAUAGACUUGCUUCCUGGCACCCUUCUCCCCAGCAGCAGACAGUACAAUCUCUCUCGGCCUGAACAAGAAGCCAUGGAGGAGUACAUCCAGGAUUCUCUGGCUUCUGGGCUCAUCCGGCCCUCAUCCUCUCCACUUGCUGCUGGCUUAUUCUUUGUUAAAAAGAAAGAGUCCUCUCUCCGUCCCUGCAUCGACUUCCGCGGACUCAACGAUAUCACUGUGAAGAACAAAUAUCCCCCUGCCACUCAUCGAUCCCUCCUUUGAACUUCUCUGCAACGACACCGUCUUCUCCAAACUGGACCUCCGUAACGCCUAUCACCUGGUUCGCAUCAGAGAGGGCGACGAGUGGAAGACGGCCUUCAAUACACCCAUGGGCCAUUUUGAAUACCUCGUCAUGCCCUUUGGUCUCACCAAUGCUCCUGCUGUAUUCCAGGCUCUCAUCAAUGACGUCCUCCGUGACAUGAUCAAUAAAUUUGCCUUUGUAUGUCUGGAUGAUAUACUGAUCUUCUCCCGCAACAAUGAGGAACAUCAACAACACGUCCGACUUGUCCUCCAGCACCUCCUGGAUAACAGACUCUUCGUCCAACCCGAGAAGUGCGAGUUCCAUGCCUCCUCCGUCAGCUUCUUGGGAUACAUCAUCGCCCAGAAGAUUCAUGUGGAACUACAGCAAGAUGGCUGUGCCUCUCACCCGUCUCACCUCCCUCAAAGUCCCGUUCUCCAGGACCCCUGAAGCAGACACCACCUUCAUUCGGCUCAAGUCCCUCUUCAUCUCCGCCCCGGUGCUCUAACACCCAGAUCCCUUUCUCCAGUUCGUGGUAGAGGUCGACGCCUCGGACUCCGGAGUGGGGGCCGUCCUCUCGCAGAGGGAUCCCGAGACCCAGAAGCUCCAUCCUUGUGCCUACUUCUCCCAGAAACUCUCGUCCACGGAACAAAAUUAUGAUGUAGGAAACCGUGAGUUGCUGGCUGUUGUGUGGGCACUUCAAGAAUGGAGACACUGGCUGGAAGGAGCACAACACCCAUCCUCAUCUGGACUGACCAUAAGAACCUUCAGUACCUCCGUUCUGCUCGACGCCUCAACUCCAGGCAUCACCCCACCUCCACUUAUCCUCCACCACCCCCUCCAGCACCACAUCCAGCCUCUCCAAAACAGCUGACCAGGUGAGAAGUGAGCUGAGGAAGAUGAAGCCAAGGAAGGCAACAGGUCCUGACGGCAUCAGCUCCAGACUCCUGAAGGACUGUGCAGACCAGCUCUGUGAGGUGCUACUGCACAUCUUCAGCUUCAGCCUGAGUCUGGAGAGGGUCCCAGCACUGUGGAAGACUUCCUGCGUGAUUCCUGUCCCCAAGACAGCACACCCCAGGGAGCCCAACCACUUCAGACCUGUGGCCCUCACUUCUCACCUGAUGAAGACUCUGGAG